AGAGGCAGCGAGGCGGCUGCAAACCUCAACCAAGGUUUGAGGAAAGUCCGGGCUCCCGAAAGACCAGACUUGCUUGGUAACGCCAAGUGCGCGCGAGCGUGAGGAUAGUGCCACAGAAACAUACCGCCCGUUUUGGGAUCAAGCGGUAGGAAUUGAGCCUUGGGAUUUAUUCCACAUGUUCAAUUCACCUCGGAUUCCUAGAUGUGGUAAGGGUGCAAAGGUGCGGUAAGAGCGCACCAGCAACGACCGUGAGGCGUUGGCUCGGUAAACCCCGGUUGGGAGCAAGGUCGAAGGAGCAACGGUUGGUCUUUUACCGGCUCCGAAAGAUAGGGAUUCCUGUCUUUGCCAAUCCGCUAGAGGUGCCUGGUGACAGGCAUCCCAGAUAGAUAGCUGCCCAUUCAGCGUUCGCGUUGGGUGAACAGAACCCGGCUUAUGUCUGCCUCUUUCC
rnacentral:RNase_P_RNA from 1 species